UAGGGAAUCUUCCGCAAUGGACGCAAGUCUGACGGAGCAACGCCGCGUGAGUGAAGAAGGAUUUCGGUUCGUAAAACUCUGUUGUUAGAGAAGAACAGCGCAUAGAGUAACUGUUAUGCGUGUGACGGUAUCUAACCAGAAAGCCACGGCUAACUACGUGCCAGCAGCCGCGGUAAUACGUAGGUGGCAAGCGUUGUCCGGAUUUAUUGGGCGUAAAGCGAGCGCAGGCGGUUAGAUAAGUCUGAAGUGAAAGGCAGUGGCUCAACCAUUGUAGGCUUUGGAAACUGUUUAACUUGAGUGCAGAAGGGGAGAGUGGAAUUCCAUGUGUAGCGGUGAAAUGCGUAGAUAUAUGGAGGAACACCGGUGGCGAAAGCGGCUCUCUGGUCUGUAACUGACGCGGAGGCUCGAAAGCGUGGGGAGCGAACAGG
rnacentral:rRNA from 1 species